AAAGGGAGAGGGAGGGGGAUGUACAUAUACACGAGGUAUUACAAAACUCCCAACCCCUGUGAACAUACCACUUAGUUGCCUCGGCGGAUCAGCCCGCUCCCGGUAAAACGGGACGGCCCGCCAGAGGACCCCUAAACUCUGUUUCUAUAUGUAACUUCUGAGUAAAACCAUAAAUAAAUCAAAACUUUCAACAACGGAUCUCUUGGUUCUGGCAUCGAUGAAGAACGCAGCAAAAUGCGAUAAGUAAUGUGAAUUGCAGAAUUCAGUGAAUCAUCGAAUCUUUGAACGCACAUUGCGCCCGCCAGUAUUCUGGCGGGCAUGCCUGUUCGAGCGUCAUUUCAACCCUCAAGCACAGCUUGGUGUUGGGACUCGCGUUAAUUCGCGUUCCCCAAAUUGAUUGGCGGUCACGUCGAGCUUCCAUAGCGUAGUAGUAAAACCCUCGUUACUGGUAAUCGUCGCGGCCACGCCGUUAAACCCCAACUUCUGAAUGUUGACCUCGGAUCAGGUAGGAAUACCCGCUGAACUUAAGCAUAUCAAUAAGCGGAGGAA
rnacentral:rRNA from 1 species